AACCAAAGUGUUGAGUUCAGUUCUGGGCUUCUUCCCCAGUCCUGGUAAUUAAUCUUUGGUACAUUAGACGGCUGAAGAUGUUUAAUCAGAGCUGCGCUUCCUGAGUGUCGUGCUGCUUUACUACAUCUUCACCAACAGGC